GCGCCGGUGGUGUAAGGCGAACAUCGCUGCCCGGAAAGCAGAAGAUGCAGGUUCGAGUCCAGCCUGGCGCA
rnacentral:tRNA from 1 species